AUUGAACGCUGGCGGCAGGCCUAACACAUGCAAGUCGAACGAGUGGCGGACGGGUGAGUAAUGUCUGGGAAACUGCCUGAUGGAGGGGGAUAACUACUAGAAACGGUAGCUAAUACCGCAUACCAUCAGAUGUGCCCAGAUGGGCUUAGCUAGUGGGUGGGGUAACGGCUCACCUAGGCGACGAUCCCUAGCUGGUCUGAGAGGAUGACCAGCCACACUGGAACUGAGACACGGUCCAGACUCCUACGGGAGGCAGCAGUGGGGAAUAUUGCACAAUGGGCGCAAGCCUGAUGCAGCCAUGCCGCGUGUAUGAAGAAGGCCUUCGGGUUGUAAAGUACUUUCAGCGGGGAGGCGUUACCCGCAGAAGAAGCACCGGCUAACUCCGUGCCAGCAGCCGCGGUAAUUC
rnacentral:rRNA from 1 species